rnacentral:rRNA from 1 species
AUUGAACGCUGGCGGCAGGCCUAACACAUGCAAGUCGAACGAGUGGCGGACGGGUGAGUAAUGUCUGGGAAACUGCCUGAUGGAGGGGGAUAACUAAUGGAAACGGUAGCUACUACCGCAUCACAUCGCAUGUGGCCAGGUGGGAUUAGCUAGUAGGGGGGGUAACGGAUCAACUAGGAGACGAUCCCUAGCUGGUCUGAGAGGAUGACCAGCCUGACUGGAACUGAUACACGGUCCAGACUCCUACGGGAGGCAGCAGUGUGGAAUAUUGCACAAGGGGCGCAAGCCUGAUGCAGCCAUGCCGCGUGUAUGAAGAAGGCCUUCGGGUUGUAAAGUACUUUCAGCGGGGAGGCGUUACCCGCAGAAGAAGCACCGGCUAACUCCGUGCCAGCAGCCGCGGUAAUUC